rnacentral:rRNA from 1 species
UGUGUAGGCGGUUUAUCAAGUUGAAAGUGAAAUCCCCGGGCUUAACUCGGGAGCUGCUUUCAAAACUGAUAGACUUGAGUGCAGUAGAGAAAAGCGGAAUUCCUAGUGUAGCGGUGGAAUGCGUAGAUAUUAGGAGGAACACCAGCGGCGAAGGCGGCUUUUGGACUGUAACUGACGCUGAGGCACGAAAGUGUGGGGAGCAAACA